UACGAAGGGGGCUAGCGUUGCUCGGAAUCACUGGGCGUAAAGGGUGCGUAGGCGGGUCUUUUAAGUCAGGGGUGAAAUCCUGGAGCUCAACUCCAGAACUGCCUUUGAUACUGAAGAUCUUGAGUUCGGGAGAGGUGAGUGGAACUGCGAGUGUAGAGGUGAAAUUCGUAGAUAUUCACAAGAACACCAGUGGCGAAGGCGGCUCACUGGCCCGAUACUGACGCUGAGGAGCGAAAGCGUGGGGAGCGAACAGG
rnacentral:rRNA from 1 species